rnacentral:rRNA from 1 species
UACAGAGGUCUCAAGCGUUGUUCGGAUUCAUUGGGCGUAAAGGGUGCGUAGGCGGCGCGGUAAGUCGGGUGUGAAAUCUCGGGGCUUAACUCCGAAACUGCAUUCGAUACUGCCGUGCUUGAGGACUGGAGAGGAGACUGGAAUUUACGGUGUAGCGGUGAAAUGCGUAGAUAUCGUAAGGAACACCGGUGGCGAAAGCGGCGUACUGGGUCUUAUCUGACGCUGAGGCACGAAAGCUAGGGGAGCGAACGGG